UACGGAGGGUGCAAGCGUUAUCCGGAUUUACCGGGUUUAAAGGGUGCGUAGGCGGACUUUUAAGUCAGGGGUGAAAUCCCGGGGCUCAACCCCGGAACUGCCUUUGAUACUAUUGGUCUUGAAUGUUGUGGAGGUGGGCGGAACGGGUCAUGUAGCGGUGAAAUGCAUAGAUAUGACCCGGAACACCGAUUGCGAAGGCAGCCCGCUACGCAACGAUUGACGCUGAGGCACGAAAGCGUGGGGAUCAAACAGG
rnacentral:rRNA from 1 species